AUUUGCAAAGAAUUGUGUGUGUGUGUGUGUGUGUGUGUGUGUGUGUAUAUAUAUAUAUAUACAUAUACACACACACACAUACACACACACACACAUACACACAAUUCUUU
rnacentral:miRNA from 1 species